AGUGAACGCUGGCGGUAGGCCUAACACAUGCAAGUCGAACGGCAGCACAGUAAGAGCUUGCUCUUACGGGUGGCGAGUGGCGGACGGGUGAGGAAUACAUCGGAAUCUACUUUUUCGUGGGGGAUAACGUAGGGAAACUUACGCUAAUACCGCAUACGACCUACGGGUGAAAGCAGGGGAUCUUCGGACCUUGCGCGAUUGUAUGAGCCGAUGUCGGAUUAGCUAGUUGGCGGGGUAAAGGCCCACCAAGGCGACGAUCCGUAGCUGGUCUGAGAGGAUGGUCAGCCACACUGGAACUGAGACACGGUCCAGACUCCUACGGGAGGCAGCAGUGGGGAAUAUUGGACAAUGGGCGCAAGCCUGAUCCAGCCAUACCGCGUGGGUGAAGAAGGCCUUCGGGUUGUAAAGCCCUUUUGUUGGGAAAGAAAAGCAGCAGGUUAAUACCCCGCUGUUCUGACGGUACCCAAAGAAUAAGCACCGGCUAACUUCGUG
rnacentral:rRNA from 1 species